rnacentral:lncRNA from 1 species
CGGUGGCAGUUCUUGAAAGUCAGAGGCAGUCGGUAUAUCUGUAAGGACGGCUAUCCUUGUUGAUUAUUAGACUCCUCUUUCGUUUGACCACGUGUAGGAUGGCUCUGCGCAGCUCCGGUUCUGAUCUUCUUGGAUUGGUCUGGUUGGGUCUAUCCUUGUUGAUUAUUCAUGUACUCUUGCUCAAGAUGGUGGGAAUUUCUUGCCUGAGUUACAAGAUGUGACCAUCUCAUGUCCGGUGGCGACGUGCAAAAUUGGCGGCAAAAAAACAUCUUGCAAUGUGGUGGAGUCGCGGUUCCUCUCUCGUCAGUCCCCGAUACACCGUUCUGUCAACAAUUAAGAUGUGAUGGAUAUUCAGAGCUACUAAGGUUCGUCGUAGUUUUACCGUUUGGUCUCGAUUUAGUAAUCAGUCAGUUUAGGACAGGUUUUCAACAGGUUGUGGGUUUAUUUUUGUGACUUCCCUCUUAGUUAAAUUAGUUUGUGUAGUUUAGUUAUUGUAGUAGCUAUUUACUGGUAUUUUUGUAAUCUUCUACGAAAAUCAAAAAUAGUAAUAAUAUUUAACAUUUUUACCAAAAAAAGACUUAUUUUAAUAUAUUUAUGCAGUUCUUCCAAUUUUUAAAGACCUUUUAUUCUUUUGUUUUUUGGUAUAACUAGUUGAUAUCCCACACUUUGUACGAACUAAUAUAUAUAAUAAUUUUUAAUUAUAAUGUUCAUUUUUAUUAAAAAAACUUAUUAAAUUAGAUACAAUUUUAAAUUAAUAUUUUAAAUAUACUUCAACAUCAUAUUGGUAAUCAAUAUAUUAAACUAUGUUCUUUUGUUUCAUAUUUUAUAUUUAAGAUGUGAGUUUUGGAUCGAAAAUUUUUCCAUGGUAAUAAUCAAAUUAGGAAAUCUGGAUUUGAAAUUAAACACUUAUUGUAUUUGGACCGAAAAGAAACCCAGUGGCACAGAAAGGAUUAUAAAAAAACUACAACCCAUAAAACGUCAACAAAAUAACAAUAGCCUAGGGGUGUUCAAUCCGGUAAAACCGACCACUAAAAACCGAACCAAACCAAAAUAAAGAAAAUAGUUUGGAUUUGGUAGUAUCGAAUAAACCAGAUAGAUGUUAUUUUAAGAAGCCAUAAUAUAUGGAUAUGGUUCAACAUAUUAACCGAUUCAACCGAAUAAACUGAAGAAACUGAUUAAAUUGAAUAUAUUAGUAUACUUAUGUAUAAUUUUUAUAAUAAUAUAUAUAUAUAUUUGGAUCAAUAUUUCCAAUAAGAAUUAGAGAAAUAGCUAUAAUAUUAGUCAUUAAGUCGUAAACUAAAUAUAAGAUAAACAAAAUUAUGAUAUUAUUUGUAGAUAUUGUAAAUAUCAACUGUUAAUAUCUAUUUUCUUAAUUAGAUAUUCUAAAUAUCAUAUAAUUAUAUAUUAAAUAUAUAUAUUUUUAAAUAGUUUAUAUAUCAGUAAAAUAAUUUAAUUUUUAUUAAUUAUUUUAAAUAUCAUGAUAAAUAUAUAUAUUAACAUACUUUUUUAAAUAAGAAAAUUAAUUAAACUAAUUAUUUAUCCUAAAAUCAUGGAAACGAUGAUAAAUAAACAAAUUCAUUAAAAUCAUGGAGAAUAUGAUAAGUAAACAAAUUCAGUUCUCAAAUAAUAGUAAAGAUAGAUUGUAUUUUUUUUGUUUUAUUUGUGGCCACAUAUUUUGCGUCUUACCUCCCUAGUAAAUCCAGAAUAGAGGGAUUCUACGAAAGUUCCUUUAUUAUCUCAAUAAUAGAAGCAUUUUCAAGAUUCAAGCAGUUGCAAAAAAAAAAACCUGUCCAUCCCUUUCUGCAAUUGCUUUCUAAAAAAGCGGUGUGAUAUUGCUUCCAUCUCAAUCAUACUGAUACUAUAAUGGCUUCGUCUUCUUUUUCUCUUUCUCCUCUAUCUU